rnacentral:rRNA from 1 species
GACGAACGCUGGCGGCGUGCUUAACACAUGCAAGUCGAACGAUGAUGCCCAGCUUGCUGGGUGGAUUAGUGGCGAACGGGUGAGUAACACGUGAGUAACCUGCCCCUGACUCUGGGAUAAGCGUUGGAAACGACGUCUAAUACUGGAUAUGACUGCAGGCCGCAUGGUCUGGUGGUGGAAAGAUUUUUUGGUUGGGGAUGGACUCGCGGCCUAUCAGCUUGUUGGUGAGGUAAUGGCUCACCAAGGCGACGACGGGUAGCCGGCCUGAGAGGGUGACCGGCCACACUGGGACUGAGACACGGCCCAGACUCCUACGGGAGGCAGCAGUGGGGAAUAUUGCACAAUGGGCGAAAGCCUGAUGCAGCAACGCCGCGUGAGGGAUGACGGCCUUCGGGUUGUAAACCUCUUUUAGUAGGGAAGAAGCGAAAGUGACGGUACCUGCAGAAAAAGCACCGGCUAACUACGUGCCAGCAGCCGCGGUAA